GACGAACGCUGGCGGCGUGCUUAACACAUGCAAGUCGAACGGAAAGGCCCUGCUUUUGUGGGGUGCUCGAGUGGCGAACGGGUGAGUAACACGUGAGUAACCUGCCCUUGACUUUGGGAUAACUUCAGGAAACUGGGGCUAAUACCGGAUAGGAGCUCCUGCUGCAUGGUGGGGGUUGGAAAGUUUCGGCGGUUGGGGAUGGACUCGCGGCUUAUCAGCUUGUUGGGGUGGUAGUGGCUUACCAAGGCUUUGACGGGUAGCCCGCCUGAGAGGUUGACCGGGCACCAUGGGCCUACGGGAGGGAGCAGAAGCGUAUCGUACGCAAUGGGCGGGAAUUUGACGGAACGGCGGGAAGUGUGUGGUAGCAACGCCGCGUGCGGGAUGAUGGCUUAUGGGGGGUAAACCGCUUUCGCCGUAGACGAAGCGUGAGUGACGGUAAUGGGUAAAGAAGCACCGGCUAACUACGUG
rnacentral:rRNA from 1 species